GCCUAUUUGGAAGCUGCCAGGUCUCUUUGAAUUGGGGCUCUCUUGGCCCUUGGGGUAAGUGAACAAGGAUGUCCUGGUCCAUCAUUUAUUAAGCAAAUUCUGCACAGCAACUCUGUAUGUGUGUCCUGCCUUGGCAAAUGUGGAAGAUCUACAAACAUGAAAAAGGCCUGAUACUUGCUUUCAUGGGACUCAUCAUCCAGGAGGCUCCCUCAGUGGCCAAGGGAAGCAAAAGUGCAGGCUUCUAUCCCUUGGGACACUUCAUGGUCCAAGAUAGCUGCUGGUGUGACAGGGAUACUACCCAUUCAACAGGCCCUGGACCUCACUGAUACCAGGCUUGACCAAGUCCUGGAAGACUAACUUGGCCUAACUGAAAUGCACAUGAAAUGGAGACAAAAACCAACAGUACACGAUAUGACUGCUCCUAGAAAUUAUAACUCUAUUGAAAGGAAUUUAAGAAGUAAUGCAUGUCAAAAAAAAAAAAAAAAAAAGAACUAGUGUACGUCAUUCUACUAAAGGAAACAAAAUCACUACAUUAAAGAGUUUUCUGCACCCCCUUCUCACUGCAGGAUUAUUUACACUAGCCAAGACAUGAACACAACCUAAGUGUCCAUCAAUGGAUGAAUGAAGAAGAUGUGGUAUAUACAUAAGUGGACACCUGGGAGGCUCAAUAGAUUAAAAGUCCUACCGGAUCUCAGCUCUGGUCUUGAUCUCAAGUUUGUGAAUUCAAGCCCCACAUUGGGCUCCACACUGGGCACAAAGCCUACUUAAAAAAAGAGGAUGAUGAAGAUGUGGCAUAUACAUAAAUAGAAUCUUUCAGUCAUAAAAAAAAAAAGGAAAUCCUUCCACUUGCAACAGCAUGAUUGGACUUUGAAGGCAUUGUGCUAAGUGAAAUCAGAGAAAGUCAAAUACUGAAUGAUCUUAUAUGUGGAAUCUAAAAAAAAUGAGCUCAUAGAAACAGAACAGAUUGGCAGUUACCAGAGGCAGGGGCUUGGGCUGAGGGAAAUGGGUGAAGGUGGUCAAAAGCUACAAACUUUUAGUAAUAAGAUUAAUAUGUUCUGAUGUUGUAAUACACACCAUGGUGACUAAUAAUACUUUGCUAUAUAUUGAAAGCUGCUAAGAGAGUAGAUCUUAAAAGUUCUCAUCACAAGAAAAAAAGUGGGGACUAUGUUAGGCAACAGAUGUUAGCUAGACUUACUGUGGCAAUCAUUUCACAAUAUAUACAUAUACCAAACCAUUAUGUUGUACUCUUUAAACUAAUACAGUGUUGUAUGUCAAUUAUAUCUCAAUGCAACGGCUGGUGGGGUAGCAAAUUGAGAUAUGAAUUUAACAGAGAACAAGGAUAAAAAUCAUAAUUCAUUUAUAACAGGGUAGAUACUUUCUAUUUUAUGUCCUUAGGAAUAUUCUAGUUUAAACAUCUUGCUUUUUGCUUCUUUCCUUCCUUCCCCCAUUCAUGAUUAAGUCUUCCGUUUUAUCAUCUAAGUGACUGGUUUGCAAGUUACCCUUACACUCCUAAACACUGGGUUAUACCACAUACUGGUCAUUGAAUACUGAUUUUUCAAACAGUGAGACUCCCAGAACAGAUGACUUUUAAUUCACUGAAGGGAAUUUAACCUUUUUAUUUUUAGCUGUUCAGAAGUCUCGACUUUAGUCAUCAAACAUUUACUGAUCACCUACAUUAGGAACAGUGUUAGGCACAGGCUACAAAAAAUGAAUACAGCCCAGACCCUGCCCUGGAGAUGCUCUCAGUCUUGUGGUGGAGGCACACAAGCAAGUGUGCAGUAAUGGCAUUGGCACGACACAGUGGCCAAGGACAUCAAAGACUGCUUGGAGAGCAGGGUGGGUGUCGAGGACAGGAGAGGCUUCGUGGGCAUGAUGAUAUUUAGGAAGAAUCUUGAAAGGUGAGAAAGACUCAAAUAGUGAACAAGGGAAAGGAAGGCCUACCAGGUAGAGGGAAGAGUAUUUAGCAAAAGCACAGAGGUGUGGCAUAUAAGGACACCUGAUUUACAACAAAAGCUUUAUGGCAAUUCAGUAGAGAAAUGAUAGUCUUUUUGAUAGUUGAUGCUGGGCCAGUGGAAUGUCCACAUGGGGGAAAAAAACGAAUUCAAUCUCUGCCUCCCACCAUACACAAAAAUUAAUUUAUGAUAGAUCUUAGAACUAAAUGUGAAAAUAAAAUCAAUAAGGUAUGUAGAAAAAAGAUAGGAAAAUAUCUUCAUGAUCUUGGGAUAAGCAAAGAUUCCUUAAAACAAAAAACACUAACUUUAAAAUUUUGAUAAAUUGAAUUUCAUUAAAAUUUAAAACUUUGGCAAAAACCAACAGAAGAUUGGAGGAGUAGAAAAGCAAGCCACUGGCUGGAGGAUACAUAUAUCCAACAAGGAAUUUGUAUCCAUACUGUAUUAAGAACAGAAAAUCAGUAAGAAAUACACAAAGUGUGCAGAAGAAUUGAACAGGCACUACACACAUACACACACACACACACACACACACACACACACACACACAUCAAAAUGGCUGAUAAAAGUCUCUCCAAGACCAAUGGUAGGACCUGGGGUUUCAUUCUGCAUUUAAGCAGGGAGCAUCAUGGUGGUGGUGGUGGUAGAGGAGGAGGGAGUCUGAGCAGGGGAGUGUCAUGACCCAAAUUUAGGCUCUCCAAAGCAUUUGGAAGCAGGAAGACCUGUUAAUACAUGACUGGAAAACUCAGCAGAGCUAUCCCCAUAGAAGACCUUAUAUAAGAACAAUUGAAGUCAGGGUGUGACUUGCUCAGUUUCAUGUGCUAGAAAAAUCACAUUGGCUACUAUGGAGAGUGACCUUGGAGAGAGUGGGGUUGGGGGGAGCCAGGUGAGUGACCGUGAGUAUACUUCCAACUCUUCCUCAGGAUCACCAUUCUAAGCAUCUAUAC